AGCCUUAGAGGACAUAGUCCUUUGUGGACACUGUAUCAAAUUCUUUUAGCAGCCAGCAGGAAUACACAUCAUAAAUAUGCACAGAGCUUGAAAACAAUAGGCACCUUUCGCUGCCAUAUAGUGAGGACACUCAAGCAGCCUGCUGAAGAGGUCUACACAGCAAGGAGCUGAGGCUUCCUGCCAGCCGCCAUGGAGGAAGCCACCUUGGAAGUGAUUUCUCCAGCCCUGGUCAGGCCUUCAGGCUGUACUUGACUGCAGUCUUGUCAGAAAUCUUGGGCUGGAACCAUGUGGCCAAACUGCUCCUGGAUUCCUGACUCUCAGAAACUAUCCAGCUGAGCAUCCUGUAUUUGACCCAACAACUCUACCUUCCCAUCCUUUAAGACUUGGAAUAACACUUCCUUCAGAGAGGCUCCUGGAUCCCUCGCCGCCCUCUCUAGUUCUCCGAAGGCACCUGGCAUCCUUAUCAUCACAGCACAGAGUCUACAUAGUGUUAGAGAUAGCUGGGUGCAUGUGUGCUUCCUCUCCUGGACUUUGGUUUCCAGAGGUCGGGGAGGAAUAUUAUCUCUCUUCUUCCUCCUCCAGAAUACAGUAUUUGCAAGCACCAGAGCAGGUGCUGUUGACACCCGCUUUUCCAGCAGGCUCCAGAGGGAAAUGGUUUGUCAAAGCCUAUCAGUGAGGACCCUCCUGGCUUCCUGAACCAGAUCUUCCUCAAAACUCAAAAAGGACUAUUUUUGAACUCUGAAAAAGAACAUCGAGUUCUCUUUCCUCUCCUGCCUUGGCAGGCUUCACUCAAUUUGUAAUUCCACUUAGGAUGCAGAGCGAUCGCAGCACACAUCCUGGGCCUCUCCAGCUGCCAACUGCUUCGCUGGCUCCGGGCAGACAGCAGGAAGGUGUUUCCUGCUUCACAGAAACAGCUCCCCCUCUCCUCUCCGGACAACGGAAGGGUACGGUAUCAUGAGCAGAUAAUAAUGAUUAGCCACGCCAACAAAAAUAAAGAGAAAUAGUUUCAAGAAAUCAACACAGAAACUGAGCACGAUAUUGCAGUUCUAUUUUGGCGCAGGGACUGGCGGUUCUGACAGCGGAGUCAUUCGAUAAUCCCUCUGAGCCGCCUAAUGAGGGCAGUGACAUCACGGAGGGUGAUCAGAGGACAAGGCUGGGAUUAAAAAGAGCUCCAGGGUGAGUCAGUGCAGAGAUGCUGGACAGCGGUGUCACCCACCCGCCUCCCUGCUGCACAGGUUAACUGGAAGUCGGCGGGACCCCCCGAUCGGGGAGAUGGUUUGCUGGAAAUCUAGGAGCCAAGUGAGGACUCUAAUAGGUCUUCUGUGCUUUUAAUAAAACCUAUCUUGAACCACAAAGCAAACCAGGGAAGAUCCCCGAGUCCAGCUUUUUGUGUCCAUCUGGGUGAAGUACUCACUGCUUCUGGACUUCACAGGGAACAUGCAAACCUUUCCCUCUCAGCCCCGACGCCCUGCAGACCACUGCCCUGAGCCCUUUUCCAAAUGUUCUGGCUCCUGAGGAACGGCUGUUUGGACUCGGAAUCUAGGCAUUGGCUCUCCCCACCCUGCGCUCCUUGGGCCGCCGCAACCUGGCUUGGGCACCAGGCCCGCCCCUCGUGCUACGAGGCUUCCCGCUGUCCCUCCCCUCAUGUCCCGCUCCACGGGAGAGCCACCCCUUCUCACUCCCCAGCACAAAUGCCGCCAGGACCCCCGCACUACGCCCAGGAGAAGCCAGAAGCUGUGAGGAAGCAGAAGACAGCUGCGGGCAGCUGCGGCCUCCAGCGCUGCGGCCUCCCUGGCCUCUGGCCUCACACAGCCGUGGGUCCCCGGCCAGCCCUGACCCCCCAUUCUGUCUUCCUAGCUCUUGCAUCAGGCUCUGCCUGUCUUGACUUGGUUUUUGGACUCUAGGCCAUGUGUGGCUUACUGGCCCCCACGGUGACUAGCUUUGCCCCAUUUCUACUCUUCAUCUCUCAAAGGCUUCUACACGGGCCACGGCGCUUGCCUCCGGAGCCCCAGGCACCCACUUGAAGGUCAUGCUUUCUGCCUGGAGCUUGACAAUGCUAACGACACCACAAGGCCUCUGGUGUAGACCUUUCUGCAUUACUGAAGACUGUCAAGUCCAACUGGCCCCUCCUGGGUGGCCCACAGGCACCCCAAACUCCAAAGAUCCCACAAAGAACUCAGUACUUCCUCUAAAACCGCAACGUCUCCCACUGUUAUGGGCUGAAUUGUGUCUUCAAAAUUCACAUGUUGAAGUCCUUACGCCAGCACUUCAGAAUUUGUAAAUGCCUUUAGAGAUAAGGUCUUUAGAGAGGUGAGUAGGUUAUAGGAAGGCUGCUAAGUUGGGCCCUAAUCCAAUCUGCCUGGCAUCUUUAUAAAAAGAUAUCAAGAGACACAAAGGCACACCAGGGGACAUAACCACUGAGGGACACAGUGAGCUGUGGUCAUCUGCAAUCCCAGGAGAGAUGGCUCAGAAAAAACCAACCUGCCAACAUCUUGGACUUCUAGCCUUCAGAACUAUGAGAAAGUGGCUUGGGCAAGAUUUGAUCCAGUGGCUGGUAGAGGACCUAUGCUGGCCCUCCCUGGGAUGUUUCCACAUCUCUCUGGUAUUGGCUCUCAUGGCAACAACAGAUGGCUCUGUGGAGUGACAGGUGCCUCCAGCAAAGGCAGUGGCUCGAAGAUACAAAAGGGGCUUUGGACUUCUUCCCUUCCUUCAUCUUACUAGUUGGAAUGUGGAUGUGAUGGUUGGAGCUUCAGCAGCCAGAUGGACCAUGAGGACAAGGACAUACUGCCCGGGGGGGCAGAAUGAAAAACUGGAAAGGGUCUUGAUGGCUAAUGCCAGGGAAGAUCCCUUACCAGCCCAGAAUGCCUAGCCUUGCAGCUAAAUGAAAGAAAGUUAAACCUU